rnacentral:lncRNA from 1 species
GGUCCAAACAGCUCCUCCGAAAUGCUGAGCUACAAAAAAGGCCAUCCAAUCAGCCGCAUUGUUGGCCUCACGAUAAACAUACCUAAUAUCGAUCAAGGAGCAGCCCUGUACAAUGUGCUAAGUAUUACUGAGAAAAAGAUGGACAGCCCCGACUCUUGGCUGCUUUCACAGCCAGCCUAUGACCGUGGCUGAAUCACCCUCCAUAAUCAAUCUCUCCGUCUGCAGUCGCAACCUUGCAAAGAAUAUCCCUGCCCAAGUUGUCCAUAGCUCUAACAAACACGGUAUAAUCAAUACCUACCAGCAACUA